GCGGAGGAAAAGGAAUUAACAAAGAUUCCCUCAGUAACGGCGAGUGAAGUGGGAUUUAGCCCAGCACCGAAUCCUAGCGGCCGAUGCGUCGCGUGGACCUGUGGUGUUCGGGGCCCCGACUUUCGUUGCUGCUUCGUUGCGCCUCAGUUUCAUUGAAAGGGCUGUUGCUCCAGAGCGGGUGUCAGACCCUUGUGUUGCGCACGAGCGGGCGAAGGUUCUAGGUGGCCCCACGAGUCGGGUUGUUUGAGAGUGCAGCCCAAAGACGGUGGUAAGCUCCAUCGAAGGCUAAACAUUGCCACGAGUCCGAUAGCGAACAAGUACCGUGAGGGAACGUUGAAAAGGACUUCGAAGAGAGAGUUCAAGAGUACGUGAAACCGCUUAAAGGGAAACGAGUGGCUCCGCAUUGUCGGCCUGCGGUGUUCAUCUCGCUCGCCGGGCGUCCGGUCCGCGUCCGUUCCAGGUCUCGCCUAGCGGCUUGAUCUGCGGCGCGCGAUGCAGGUUUUCGCUCGGUGGGUGUGUGCAUUUGCCGCGAGGCAGGGCGUCACGAUCGCUUCCGAGUGGCGCGCGACCGUCGGCGGUGUCGGCGCGGGCGAACGUCUCCAUCUCGCGUGGUUGACGAUCGACUCGCGCGACCUGCCGUCCCGCGUGCCCGGGAGUGUGUAACGAUCGGCUCGAUUUCGUCGCGUGCGAUCUUCGUUUCCGGAGCGAAUCGGCUCGGCGGUACGUACUUCGGUGCGACCGCUCCGGUGGCUCUCGGUGCGGAGUAGAGCGCGCGGCGUGCAGGGCCUUGCAUCGGUGGCGAUUGA
rnacentral:rRNA from 1 species